GCGUUCCGCUACGUUUACGAGUAGCCACUCCCGACAACCGUAAUAAUUAACAUCGAAUAACAAAAAGUUACCUUACGAUCGAGGUAGGAAAAUGAAAACAGAAUUAGUGCUAGCUAACCAACGACUUAAGAAGGUCAAAUACAGACAAAUAUGUGUUGGAGAAAAAACGGCAGAUGUCAUACAUAAAAGAAUAGGAGAUAUUCAAUAAAUCUAUUUUGGAAUUGCAAUUACAAAGCAAGCUAAAUAUAUCUGUAAAGAUAUAAUAUACCUAAAAUGAACGUCUGCCGUACCUAGAGAAUUAUAAAAUAGAACCAAGCUUUUAACAUCCCACAAAGACAACUUAUAUGGAAAAUGCACUAAGAAUAACAUCCCUAUUAAUUAUCCGGAAAGUAAAUCUUCCCCAAGAUGUGUAUACUCAUAGAGCCGCUUACCGUCUGAUAAACCGGCACGUCCAUAAGCCAACACUUGGAAUUAGAGCUGAAGGAAGUUCAUCUAGAUUGGAACAAAGAUAAGUGUACUUAAUUAAUGUUCUCAUUUAUAGACCGAAUUGUGUUCCGCAAUAUAUUAUAUAUUUAUUCUA
rnacentral:lncRNA from 1 species